rnacentral:rRNA from 1 species
GACGAACGCUGGCGGCGUGCUUAACACAUGCAAGUCGAACGAAGAGCGAUGGAAGCUUGCUUCUAUCAAUCUUAGUGGCGAACGGGUGAGUAACGCGUAAUCAACCUGCCCUUCAGAGGGGGACAACAGUUGGAAACGACUGCUAAUACCGCAUACGAUCUAAACUCGGCAUCGAGGAUAGAUGAAAGGUGGCCUCUACAUGUAAGCUAUCACUGAAGGAGGGGAUUGCGUCUGAUUAGCUAGUUGGAGGGGUAACGGACCACCAAGGCGAUGAUCAGUAGCCGGUCUGAGAGGAUGAACGGCCACAUUGGGACUGAGACACGGCCCAGACUCCUACGGGAGGCAGCAGUGGGGAAUCUUCCGCAAUGGACGAAAGUCUGACGGAGCAACGCCGCGUGAGUGAUGACGGCCUUCGGGUUGUAAAGCUCUGUUAAUCGGGACGAAAGGCCUUCUUGCGAAUAGUGAGAAGGAUUGACGGUACCGGAAGAGAAAGCCACGGCUAACUACGUG